ensembl:lncRNA
AUCACAACAGAGGUGUCUUCAUAGAAUUUAUCUGAAAGCUACAGCAGGCAACGUUUAAGAUCCCAACCCAGAGAGCCUUUUCGGUUGGUGACCCUGCUGAUGGCAGCAAUGUUACACUUGAUAUCCAGACAUUGGUCUCUGCAGAAAGAGUGUUACAAACAGCAACGUGUCUGGUACAGAUGGGGAAAACCCUUCUGAGCCAUGGAGUGAAUUUACUGCGCUUUCACUGUGACACAGAGCUGGAAAUACUUCAGGACUUGGCACCUUAUGGAAGAAGUCUGAAAACCUGAAUCUCCAUCUUGUGUUCAGACAAAAGUCUCCAGUUUCUCUGUGAGAUCAGGAGGCUAUGGCCACUGCAGAAUUGGGAUGCUCC